UGGAACUGCUCUCGCGGCAGUUCAGACCUCGUGCUCGUCCCCCUCGCCUGUCUGUGUGUGGUAUCCGCAGGUCCUGGGCACUUUUUUGGGUGUGUGUGUGUGUGUGUGUGUGUGUGUGUGUGUGUGCGCGCGCGCGCGCGUGUGUUUGGGGUGUUUGUUUGAGGGGUUUGUCCGGGCGCGGAGAGAAGAGCCUGGCCGAGGGGAAGGAAGGAAGCCGCAGAGCUCCCCGGUCUCGGGCUGCGCUCUCCUGCCUGUGCGCUCCGAGGCGGUGGUGGCGGCGCCGAGCGCUUUUCGCCGGGGACGCGGCGCUCGAGCCGGGAGCAGCGAGGACCCCUUUGCGGAGGCUUCCUGGGCCCGCUGGAGUUAGGAUACCAGGGCAGCUGAUUUGCACCUACUGAGCCUGGAGUUUCCUCCUCGGCCCUGGGAAGGGCUUGCAGCAGCGGCGGCGGCGGCAGUAGCAGACGGAACAGCAGGCUCUCCUCUCCGAGGGGGGGCGUCGAAGCGCCCGCGCCGGGCUCCCGCCCUCACCCUCCGGCGCUCCUGCGGCCCCCAGCCGCCACCUCGGUGCUAGCCUCCUUCCUCUCGCCCCGAGCGCCGCCUCUGCGAUCGGACCUGCGCGCCCCGGAUGCUGGGGCUGCUUCGGCGCGCCCCCCUCGCGGCGCGACUCGCCGAGUGAUCCGGAGGGGGCCCGCAGUCGACCCAGGAGGAGACCCCGACCCCGGGACCCCGCGCCGGAGGCCCGGGAGAGACGACGAUGUCCGCGCUGUCCCCGGCCCUGACACGCUACACGCAGCGGGGGGAAGGCGGCCGGCCGCAGACCGCCGAGCCCUAGGCGCACAAAGCCCGUGUCCGCCGCCCGGCCUCGGCUCCCGCCGACGACUUUGCCGCCUGCUCCGCAGCUCUUUGUCUCCACUUGGGGCGGGCGCCCGACUCUGGGAUUUCGCUGCGAGACCGGGCUGGGGGGGCCGGGGGCGAGCUCUCGGUUUCCCGGCCGCCCCCCGCUCGGGCUUGGCUCCCCCCUCCCCCGCACCUCCCCGGCCCGAGCUCUCGGCGCUUCCACGCUCUCGGAAUCACGACCCCUCCCUGCCAUGUAUCCGCAAGGCAGACAUCCGGCUCCCCAUCAACCCGGGCAGCCGGGAUUUAAAUUCACGGUGGCUGAGUCUUGUGACAGGAUCAAAGACGAAUUCCAGUUCCUGCAAGCUCAGUAUCACAGCCUCAAAGUGGAGUACGACAAGCUGGCGAACGAGAAGACGGAGAUGCAGCGCCAUUACGUGAUGUACUAUGAGAUGUCCUAUGGCUUGAACAUUGAAAUGCACAAGCAGACGGAGAUUGCGAAGAGGUUGAAUACAAUUUUAGCCCAGAUCAUGCCUUUUCUGUCACAAGAGCACCAGCAGCAGGUGGCACAGGCCGUCGAACGUGCCAAGCAGGUCACCAUGACGGAGCUGAACGCCAUCAUCGGGGUACGUGGACUCCCCAAUCUGCCUCUCACCCAACAGCAGCUCCAGGCCCAGCAUCUCUCCCACGCCACGCAUGGCCCCCCGGUCCAGCUGCCGCCCCACCCGUCAGGCCUCCAGCCUCCGGGGAUCCCCCCGGUGACGGGGAGCAGCUCCGGGCUGCUGGCGCUCGGUGCCCUGGGCGGCCAGGCUCACCUGACGGUGAAGGAUGAGAAGAACCACCAUGAGCUGGACCACAGAGAAAGAGAAUCGAGCGCGAAUAACUCGGUGUCACCCUCGGAAAGCCUCCGGGCCAGUGAGAAGCACCGGGGCUCCGCGGACUACGGCAUGGAAACCAAGAAGCGGAAAGCAGAGGAGAAGGAUAGUCUGAGCCGAUACGACAGUGACGGGGACAAGAGUGAUGAUCUGGUGGUGGAUGUUUCCAACGAGGAUCCAGCGACACCCCGGGUCAGCCCGGCGCACUCCCCUCCUGAGAAUGGGCUGGACAAGGCCCGAGGCCUGAAGAAGGACGCCCCCACCAGCCCUGCCUCCGUGGCGUCGUCCAGCAGCACGCCUUCCUCCAAGACCAAAGACCUUGGUCAUAAUGACAAAUCGUCCACUCCCGGGCUCAAGUCCAACACACCUACUCCGAGGAAUGAUGCCCCAACUCCAGGCACCAGCACGACCCCGGGGCUCCGGUCAAUGCCGGGCAAGCCUCCAGGCAUGGACCCGAUAGGUAUAAUGGCCUCCGCCCUGCGCACUCCCAUCUCCAUCACCAGCUCCUACGCGGCACCCUUUGCCAUGAUGAGCCACCAUGAGAUGAACGGCUCGCUCACCAGCCCCAGCGCCUACGCCGGCCUGCACAACAUCCCACCCCAGAUGAGUGCGGCGGCCGCCGCGGCCGCCGCUGCCUAUGGCCGAUCGCCAAUGGUGAGCUUUGGAGCUGUUGGCUUUGACCCUCACCCUCCUAUGCGGGCCACGGGCCUGCCCUCAAGCCUUGCCUCCAUUCCUGGUGGAAAACCAGCCUACUCGUUCCACGUGAGCGCCGAUGGGCAGAUGCAGCCCGUGCCCUUCCCCCACGACGCCCUGGCGGGCCCUGGCAUCCCACGGCACGCCCGGCAGAUCAACACGCUGAGCCACGGGGAGGUGGUGUGUGCUGUGACCAUCAGCAACCCCACGCGGCACGUCUACACAGGCGGCAAGGGCUGUGUGAAGAUCUGGGACAUCAGCCAGCCGGGCAGCAAGAGCCCCAUCUCCCAACUGGACUGCCUGAACAGGGACAACUACAUCCGCUCCUGUAAGCUGCUUCCUGAUGGGCGCACGCUCAUCGUGGGCGGGGAGGCCAGCACGCUCACCAUCUGGGACCUGGCCUCGCCCACGCCCCGCAUCAAGGCCGAGCUGACCUCCUCGGCUCCUGCCUGCUACGCUCUGGCCAUCAGCCCCGAUGCCAAAGUCUGCUUCUCCUGCUGCAGCGAUGGGAACAUUGCCGUGUGGGACUUGCACAACCAGACCCUGGUCAGGCAGUUCCAGGGCCACACAGACGGGGCCAGCUGCAUAGACAUCUCCCACGAUGGCACCAAGCUGUGGACUGGAGGCCUGGACAACACCGUGCGCUCCUGGGACCUGCGGGAGGGCCGCCAGCUGCAGCAGCAUGACUUCACGUCCCAGAUCUUCUCGCUGGGUUACUGCCCCACCGGGGAGUGGCUGGCCGUGGGCAUGGAGAGUAGCAACGUGGAGGUGCUGCAUCACACCAAGCCUGAUAAGUACCAGCUGCACUUGCACGAGAGCUGUGUGCUGUCCCUCAAGUUCGCCUACUGCGGCAAGUGGUUCGUGAGCACCGGCAAGGACAACCUCCUUAAUGCCUGGCGGACCCCGUACGGAGCCAGCAUAUUCCAGAACGAUGUGACCUGGAAGGAAGUUUACAGCGCUGAGCGCAUCAGGACAGAAGGGAAGUGUUCUGAAUAUGGUCAAGAGGACACGGGGAAGACCCUCAACCACCAGACCCCCUCGUACCACAGAUCUCUUGCAUUUAAAACAACAACCACCACCAUGCUGUGGAUCGUUCUACAAGAUGGAUUUAUUAGUUUCAUUCCUGAUUUUGAUGAACGUCUGGUUUGGUCCCUCUGUUUUUCUUGUUAAGCAGUACGGUACUGAAUACCUCAGACAUGGUGCCUGUGGGCAUGUGCAAGUGUUUUUCCAGGACGGCGACUCAAAACUUCCUUGGUUGGAGAGCGUAUUUAAAAAUAUUUAAAAGUACGAGAUUUUAAAAUAUGAUAGAUUAUUCCACGUUGCUCUCCAACAAUGAUACUCCAAUUUAUACACCUGCCAGCAACAUGUAAGACCGUUUCUUCAAUCCACUUCCAGGCCAAGUAUGGUCCUCCUCCCAGCCCCCAGUUUUUCCAUUCUAAUGGGGGAUAAGCAAUAUCUCAGUAUUGCAUGAAUUUGCAUUUUCCUGGUCACUUAUAAGCACGAGCAUCUUCUCAUGGCUAUCGGCAUUACUUCUUCUGAGAACGUUCCUUCCACUUUCUUGGCUUGUUUUUCCACAGGAUUGUUUGUCUAUGUUCUUAUUGAUCUAUAAGUGCAAUUUACAUAUGUAGGCUAUUAUUUCCUUUUCUUGUAUUCAUGUGCGAAAUAUUUUCUCCUAGUUUGUCUCUUGUCUUUUUACUUCAUGUCGUUCUUCAUCAUUUUCAUGACACUUUUAUGUGGCCAGAUUUGUCAAUUGCCAUUGCGACCUGAAUCUUUUAAAGAUAUUUUCUUCCCCCAAGAUUAUAUUUUCUUUUAAUACUUCGACUGUGUCAUUUAUUAUAGGUAGUUGUUUCACCCAUGGAAACUUUUUUGUGGGACACGGUGCAAAGUAAGAAACCUAGUCUUACUUUUUUUUUUUGCCCACGGGCUACUCUGGUUUUCCAACACCAUUUACCGAAUAGUCUACAUCAUCCUUGCUGACACAAUUAGCCAUCUUUAUCAUAUAAUCAAAUACCAUUUGUAUGUGGAUUAAAAACUGGCAUCUCUCAGGCCAGACAGAAGUACUGUUCAUGUUUAAUUGUUUUCAUUGUUUUGAAUAAUACAGCUAUGUGUUUCAAAUUUUAAAAGGCACAGAAGGCUGGUUCAGCAGAGACCUGGUGGCCUUCCACCAAAAUCUGCUCUUCUUCCCUCCUUGGCACUCCCAGCCUCCCUUGCAGCUGUGAUCAUGUGACUGGGCCCAACCAACUGACGGCGAGUUGAGAUCUGUGCCUUUUCCUGAUGUGGUCCUUGAGCACCUCCCCUUGGUGUUCCUCUAGCUCUGUCCCUUCUCCCACAGGUUGGAACAAAGGUGAGAAUACUUCAUGUCUUGCAUUAAACGUGGAAAAGGCAUCAUCGGCUGGGGCCCUGGAACAAUUCUGCUUGUAUAAAAGUCCCACCCUGAAUGAUUAGAUGAUUAGGGAGACACCUUCUAUGAUGACUGAGCCAUGAGAUGAGGGAGUCUACUUUUUACAACAAGUCUGUUUAUUCUUCCUCAUGCAGGUUCUCAGUGGAGUGUUCCUCUCCCAGCUGGAUCUCUAGACCUGAUGUUACUAGCCUCUUGUGUAUGUGCUUCUAGAGAGAGUCUAGACAUUUACAAACAAUAACACACACAAAUGGUAGCCCACUGUAUACAACAGCUCAUCAAAUGUGUACAGAGCACAGACCGUGUGCCAGACUGUUCUACGCUCUAAGGAUACAGUGGUGACCAAAACAUUCAAAACCCCUUGGCUUCAUGGGACUUAGCUUCUAGACGGGGCAAGCUGCCAACCAACGGCAUAAAUGGGUGAAAUACUAAUUGAACUGCACCCCAGGCCACCAUGGGCUAAAUGCUGGGGCAAUGCGGUGAACAAGACAAACAGGUCCAGGUCCCCGUGGGCGAGGCUGUCUGCAGAGGAACAAGAGCUGCCAGGCGCCCCGGCUUUGACGAGAUGCUCUGGGCAACAGACACUCCGCUCUGUGUAGCCUGCUGACAGCCACCUUCUGGGCAGGGUGGUUACCCCCUCCUCUGGGCCCUUGGCACCUUCUUUCACCUCUGAUACAGGCCUGACUGCACCAUGUCACCUGUUAGCUCUCGACCUGCCUGUCUCCUUUGGAAUGAUAAAGGAAUGAAUGCAUAAAGAUUCAAAGACUCUGCCCUCAAGGGGCUGACAGUUUCCCUGGGAAUAUGAAAUAAAAAUAAGUUGACAUGGAGCAGA